rnacentral:misc_RNA from 1 species
GGCAAGAAGGUUGUGCUUUACUUAUGCUUGUGUUAUUUGCUGUUGGUUGUUCGUUUGGUAUAUGAAAAUUUCCUUGAAAUUGAGAACAAGGUGCCUUUGAUGUGCCUGGUCAUAUUGAGAACUGUCUAGCUUUACUGUUCUAGGUCCCAAUUUUUAUUUGCGGAGAUUGCCAUGCAUGUAUAGGACAGCGAAUACUGCUGUCUCCUGUUUAAGGAAUCUUGCAGUGCUGAUAGGUUUUCCCCCCAUCAAUUGUCAGUUAAAAACUUUACUUUCUGAUGACAUUGUCUCCAAGCAUUUCAUGUUAAUAACUUGCAGGUGAAUAUCUGCCUGUGGCUUUACUUCUUUCACAAGCUGAUCUCAAGUAAUGUUCUGGUUUGUAACUUUCAGUGCUGGAUUUAUGCCAAAAGCAUAAGGUUUAUCCAUUCUUCAGAGGACAACUCAG